rnacentral:rRNA from 1 species
UACGAAGGGGGCGAGCGUUGUUCGGAGUUACUGGGCGUAAAGGGCGCGCAGGCGGCCUUAGAAGUCAGAUGUGAAAGCCCCGGGCUCAACCUGGGAAUGGCAUUUGAUACUCUGAGGCUGGAGUACGGGAGAGGAGAGUGGAAUUCCCAGUGUAGAGGUGAAAUUCGUAGAUAUUGGGAAGAACACCGGUGGCGAAGGCGGCUCUCUGGACCGUAACUGACGCUGAGGCGCGAAAGCGUGGGGAGCAAACAGG